AAUUAUAUAGUUUAACAAAAACAUUAAUUUUGUAAAUUAAAUUUAAAUAUUUAUUAUUUUAUAAUUA
rnacentral:tRNA from 1 species